rnacentral:rRNA from 1 species
AGAGUUUGAUCCUGGCUCAGGACGAGCGCUGGCGGCGUGCCUAAUACAUGCAAGUCGAGCGGACAGAUGGGAGCUUGCUCCCUGAUGUUAGCGGCGGACGGGUGAGUAACACGUGGGUAACCUGCCUGUAAGACUGGGAUAACUCCGGGAAACCGGGGCUAAUACCGGAUGGUUGUUUGAACCGCAUGGUUCAAACAUAAAAGGUGGCUUCGGCUACCACUUACAGAUGGACCCGCGGCGCAUUAGCUAGUUGGUGAGGUAACGGCUCACCAAGGCAACGAUGCGUAGCCGACCUGAGAGGGUGAUCGGCCACACUGGGACUGAGACACGGCCCAGACUCCUACGGGAGGCAGCAGUAGGGAAUCUUCCGCAAUGGACGAAAGUCUGACGGAGCAACGCCGCGUGAGUGAUGAAGGUUUUCGGAUCGUAAAGCUCUGUUGUUAGGGAAGAACAAGUACCGUUCGAAUAGGGCGGUACCUUGACGGUACCUAACCAGAAAGCCACGGCUAACUACGUGCCAGCAGCCGCGGUAAUACGUAGGUGGCAAGCGUUGUCCGGAAUUAUUGGGCGUAAAGGGCUCGCAGGCGGUUUCUUAAGUCUGAUGUGAAAGCCCCCGGCUCAACCGGGGAGGGUCAUUGGAAACUGGGGAACUUGAGUGCAGAAGAGGAGAGUGGAAUUCCACGUGUAGCGGUGAAAUGCGUAGAGAUGUGGAGGAACACCAGUGGCGAAGGCGACUCUCUGGUCUGUAACUGACGCUGAGGAGCGAAAGCGUGGGGAGCGAACAGGAUUAGAUACCCUGGUAGUCCACGCCGUAAACGAUGAGUGCUAAGUGUUAGGGGGUUUCCGCCCCUUAGUGCUGCAGCUAACGCAUUAAGCACUCCGCCUGGGGAGUACGGUCGCAAGACUGAAACUCAAAGGAAUUGACGGGGGCCCGCACAAGCGGUGGAGCAUGUGGUCUAAUUCGAAGCAACGCGAAGAACCUUACCAGGUCUUGACAUCCUCUGACAAUCCUAGAGAUAGGACGUCCCCUUCGGGGGCAGAGUGACAGGUGGUGCAUGGUUGUCGUCAGCUCGUGUCGUGAGAUGUUGGGUUAAGUCCCGCAACGAGCGCAACCCUUGAUCUUAGUUGCCAGCAUUCAGUCGGGCACUCUAAGGUGACUGCCGGUGACAAACCGGAGGAAGGUGGGGAUGACGUCAAAUCAUCAUGCCCCUUAUGACCUGGGCUACACACGUGCUACAAUGGACAGAACAAAGGGCAGCGAAACCGCGAGGUUAAGCCAAUCCCACAAAUCUGUUCUCAGUUCGGAUCGCAGUCUGCAACUCGACUGCGUGAAGCUGGAAUCGCUAGUAAUCGCGGAUCAGCAUGCCGCGGUGAAUACGUUCCCGGGCCUUGUACACGCCGCCCGUCACACCACGGGAGUUUGUAACACCCGAAGUCGGUGAGGUAACCUUUUAGGAGCCAGCCGCCGAAGGUGGGACAGAUGAUUGGGGUGAAGUCGUAACAAGGUA